UGAGGACAACCUGGCUCUGACAUUUGUCACCCCAUUGAUCACUUGGGUUGAUCCGGCUGGCUAGGCAGGUGUCCCCUUCUGCCCUCA
rnacentral:sRNA from 1 species